CUUUUGGAUCGCUUUGUUCAAAUAUUCUUGGAUGGUAGAGAUGAUAGCAAUGUAGUUCUUACUAAUCGACAUUGGAGAUAUAGAUGUAAAUGGCUGACAAUUCUCUGUCCUGAAAAAUAUUGGAUUAAUAUAGAAGGGUUACUUAUUUAUGUAUGGAAUUUUGAGGUGUUUAAACAAAUUGCUGGUUUAUGUGGGAAAUUUAUUGAGAUUGAUUGGAAUUCGAUGAUUGG
rnacentral:lncRNA from 1 species